rnacentral:tRNA from 15 species
UCGUUAGCUCAGUUGGUAGAGCAGUUGGCUUUUAACCAAUUGGUCGUAGGUUCGAAUCCUACACGAC